rnacentral:rRNA from 1 species
CAGUGGGGAAUAUUGACAAUGGGCGCAAGCUGAUGCAGCCAUGCCGCGUGAGUGAAGAAGGCCUUCGGUUGUAAAGCUCUUUAGUCGGGGAAGAAGGGGCAUAUGGUCUAAUACCGAUGGGGUAAUGACGGUACCCAUCAGAAUAAGCACCGGCUAACUCGUGCCAGCAGCCGCGGUAAUACGUAGGGUGCGAGCGUUAAUCGGAAUUACUGGGCGUAAAGCGCGAGGCGGUUAUAUAAGUCAGAUGUGAAAUCCCCGGGCUCAACCUGGGAAUG